CGGAGGAAAAGAAACCAACAGGGAUUGCCUUAGUAACGGCGAGUGAAGCGGCAAAAGCUCAAAUUUGAAAUCGGCCACCAGGUCGAGUUGUAAUUUGUAGAUUGUAUCUUGAGAGCGGAUUAAAGUCUGUUGGAACACAGCGCCUUAGAGGGUGACAGCCCCGUAAAAUCUAUUCUCAUUGUAAGAUACUUUCGAAGAGUCGAGUUGUUUGGGAAUGCAGCUCUAAGUGGGAGGUAAAUUCCUUCUAAAGCUAAAUAUUGACGAGAGACCGAUAGCGAACAAGUACUGUGAAGGAAAGAUGAAAAGCACUUUGAAAAGAGAGUGAAAAAGUACGUGAAAUUGUUAAAAGGGAAGGGUAUUGAAUCAGACUUGGUGCUGUUGUUCAACUGUGUUUCGGCAUAGUGUACUCAGCAGUACUAGGCCAAGGUGGGGUGUUUGGGAGUGAAAAAGAAGUUGGAACGUAACUCUUCGGAGUGUUAUAGCCUACUUUCAUAGCUCCUCAGGCGCCUCAGGACUGCGC
rnacentral:rRNA from 1 species